rnacentral:tRNA from 1 species
UCCCUCAUGGCUCAGAUGGUAAAGAAUCUGCCUGCAAUGCAGGAGACCUAGGUUCAAUCCCUGGGUUGGGAA